rnacentral:lncRNA from 1 species
ACUGGGAGAGGGUUAUUAGCUCAGUGGUGGCCUAGCUUCUCUGGUCAGGGGAAGUAUGACAGUUUCAAAGACUGUAUUAAAAGCUUUUAGCAUAAAUCUUGCUUCACUAUUUAAUAAAAGCAACAGGAAUUUGCCUUGAUUGGUGAAGAAAAUUGAAUCAUCAAUAAGUUCCAUCCUGUCUUAUGUUGACACUGAUGACCCUGAACAAACUCCUUAGAGUAAAGGCCGACCACAAACCAGAAAAUAACAAUGACAUCUCUUAGGCACUGUGUAGCUCUUAACAAAGGAAUGAAAGUCAGAGUGAGGGGAAAGCAAAAUUACUUCUCUCACAAUUAAGAAAAAACCUACACCUAAAGAUUCCACAAGAAAACAUUUCCCUUCUCUCUACUCUGCCCUUCAGUUUUUAGCAUCAACAUUUCAAGUAAUUUCUGACUGAGUACUACGUAUCUGGGUUUAGCUGAGGGGUAAACAAAAUAGGAAGAUAAAAUUUUCAAUUACUCUAGGAAACAGCAAACCCAUUACAUUCCCAAAAU